rnacentral:ncRNA from 1 species
UGACCGCUUGCGGGAGAGAGCUUUUGAUGCGGUUGAAACCGUAUGAAAAGCCGCCGAAGGAGCAACCGCCCCGGAAACUCUCAGGCUAAAGGACCGUUAGCGGCAG